AUUUAUAUAGUUUAUAAUCAAAACAUUUCAUUUUCAAUGAAAAAAAGGACACUCUCCUAUAAAUU
rnacentral:tRNA from 1 species